GCCUCUAUAGCAUAGUGGUGGUGCGCGACCUUGGUAAGGUCGAGGUCGAGGGUUCAAAUCCCUCUAGAGGCU
rnacentral:tRNA from 1 species